AUUUUGAGUCAUAAUAUAUUGUGUGCAAAUCAUUGUUCACUCCCUUUGAAAACUGGGGUGAAAAUUUGAAUAACAAUUAUUAUUUUGUCAUCAAAAGUAUAAGCACUACGAGAAGUGGAUCAAAAAUUGAUUACACUUUUUAAAUUUUUCUCGAGUAAGUUAUUAUAAAGCAUGAUAAAAAUAAAUUACCUUAUUUUUGUGUGUAGAGUUUGACUUAUUGUUUACAAGCAAGUAAAUUAUCAUAUAAAAUACAACGUUUAGUAAAUUUAGAGAUUAAAGGUAUUACAGAAGUAUUAAUUCUGAAAUGUCCUAGUCUAAAAAUAUGAAAUACAUAAUGUUUACAAAAUUAUACAUGUUAACUGACAAAACCAAACUGACUUU